UUUUACAUUCCUAUCAGCAGUGUGUAUGGAUUCUAAUUUUUCUGCAUCCUCACCAUCACUUGUUAUUAUCUGACUUUUUAUUAUAACUUUCCUAAUGGGUAUAAAGUGGUAUCUCACUGGUUUUGUCUUACCCUGUUUCUCUUAAAGCUACCAUAAGCCACUGAGUUUCCCAGAAACACUUGAAUAUCUCCAAUCCAUUUUACCAUCUACUAUUGCCACUAGACGUCCAAGUGCUUGUCCUCUAUCACUUGAAUUAUUAUGACAACCUUAGCUAUAUAACUGACCUUCUUUUUUCCACCCUCUUCCCAUCGCCCAGCCAAAAAAAUCGCAUUAAACACCACUUGUAAUAUAAUGUACAGCUUAAAAGCCUGAGAAGUAUGGAAAGGAAAAACUUUCUGGGAAGCUUACAGUGGAAAAACCUAGCAAACAUUUUAAAUGAAGUGAUCGAGAUUAACAUCAGCAAUGAUGUGUCCUCUAAAAUAAUGUGAUAAAAAUACCUGUGUGGUAUUUUUCCUAAAACUUUUACCUCCAGGCUAAUCAUGAGAAAAUGUCCGACAAACCCAAAUUGAGGAAUAUUCGACAAACUUUCUGAUCAGCAUCCCUCAAAACUGUGAAGUUCACAAAAAACAAGGGAAGACUGAGAAGAGGAACUCAGAGUGAGGAGAUUAUGGAGACCAUGACAACUAAAUGUUUUGUGGGAUCCUGUACUGACUCCUGGAAAAGAAAAAGCACAUUAAUGGAAAAACCAGUGAAAUCUGAAUGAGGACUGGCUUUCAGAUGUUCUUCCAGUGUUCACUUUUAUUUUCAUCUGAAAGUGACAAAAUUGAACACAACUCUGAAAGCCCCUCUUCAUAAGAUGAGCAUACUGUGGACCAAGUGGGGAGCUAGGAAUUAGAAAUCAUUGCCUCUAAACCAGGGGAAUUUGUGGACUAUUUCUGUCGGGACUCAGUGACCUAAAGGAAUUGACCUACCGAGCAAUUUCUUUCAGUCUCCACCGUGUGAGUAAGUCAUGAAAACAACUCAAGGUAAGACAUAUAUAUUUAUGGCUGCACACGGUAAGACAUAUAUAUUUAUGGCUGCACACGGUGGCUGAAGCC